rnacentral:rRNA from 1 species
AGCAGCCGCGGUAAUUCCAGCUCCAAUAGCGUAUAUUAAAGUUGUUGCAGUUAAAAAGCUCGUAGUUGAAUUUCGGGGUCAGUAGGCUGGUCAUGCCACAGGUAUGUACUGGUCUCACUGAUUCCUCCUUCCUGAUGAACCGUAAUGCCAUUAAUUUGGUGUUGCGGGGAAACCGGACUGUUACUUUGAAAAAAUUAGAGUGUUUAAAGCAAGCUAACGCUUGAAUACAUUAGCAUGGAAUAAUGAAAUAGGACGUUCGAUCCUAUUUUGUUGGUUUCUAGGAUUGACGUAAUGAUUAAUAGGGAUAGUUGGGGGCAUUAGUAUUCAAUUGUCAGAGGUGAAAUUCUUGGAUUUAUUGAAGACUAACUACUGCGAAAGCAUUUGCCAAGGAUGUUUUCAUUAAUCAAGAACGAAAGUUAGGGGAUCGAAGACGAUCAGAUACCGUCGUAGUCUUAACCAUAAACUAUGCCGACUAGGGAUCGGAUGAUGUUAAUUUUUUAAUGACUCA